GUGCCAGCAGCCGCGGUAAUACGGGGGGUGCAAGCGUUGUUCGGAAUUAUUGGGCGUAAAGCGCGUGUAGGCGGUCUGAUUAGUCUGAUGUGAAAGCCCUGGGCUCAACCCAGGAAGUGCAUUGGAUACUGUCAGACUUGAAUACGGGAGAGGGUAGUGGAAUUCCUAGUGUAGGAGUGAAAUCCGUAGAUAUUAGGAGGAACACCGGUGGCGAAGGCGGCUACCUGGACCGAUAUUGACGCUGAGACGCGAAAGCGUGGGUAGCAAACAGGAUUAGAAACCCUCGUAGUCC
rnacentral:rRNA from 1 species